AAUCUUCCGCAAUGGACGAAAGUCUGACGGAGCAACGCCGCGUGAGUGAUGAAGGUCNNNGGAUCNUNAAACACUGUUGUUAGNGCNNAGCGAGUAGCGUUCGAAUAGGGAGGUACCUUGACGGUACCUAACCAGAAAGCCACGGCUUAUUACGUGCCAGCAGCCGCGGUAAUACGUAGGUGGCAAGCGUUAUACGGAAUUAUUGGGCGUAAAGCGCGCGCAGGCGGUUUCUUAAGUCUGAUGUGAAAGCCCACGGCUCAACCGUGGAGGGUCAUUGGAAACUGGGAAGCUUGAGUGCAGAAGAGGAGAGUGGAAUUCCAUGUGUAGCGGUGAAAUGCGUAGAGAUAUGGAGGAACACCAGUGGCGAAGGCGACUCUCUGGUCUGCAACUGACGCUGAGGCGCGAAAGCGUGGGGAGCGAACA
rnacentral:rRNA from 1 species